UACGUAGGGUGCAAGCGUUGUCCGGAAUUAUUGGGCGUAAAGAGCUCGUAGGCGGUUUGUUGCGUCGACCGUGAAAACUUGAGGCUUAACCUCAAGCUUGCGGUCGAUACGGGCAGACUUGAGUUCGGCAGGGGAGACUGGAAUUCCUGGUGUAGCGGUGAAAUGCGCAGAUAUCAGGAGGAACACCGGUGGCGAAGGCGGGUCUCUGGGCCGAUACUGACGCUGAGGAGCGAAAGCGUGGGGAGCGAACAGG
rnacentral:rRNA from 1 species